UACGUAGGCAGCGAGCGUUGUUCGGAGUUACUGGGCGUAAAGGGUGUGUAGGCGGUUUUCUAAGUUUGGUGUGAAAUCUCCCGGCUCAACCGGGAGGGUGCGCCGAAAACUGGGAGACUAGAGUGCGGGAUGGGAGAGUAGAAUUCCUGGUGUAGCGGUGAAAUGCGUAGAUAUCAGGAGGAAUACCGGUGGUGUAGACGGCUCUCUGGACCGCCACUGACGCUGAGACACGAAAGCGUGGGUAG
rnacentral:rRNA from 1 species